AGAGUUUGAUCCUGGCUCAGGAUGAACGCUAGCGGCAGGCUUAAUACAUGCAAGUCGAGGGGCAACAGGGGUAGCAAUACCUGCUGGCGACCGGCAAACGGGUGCGCAACACGUACAGAACCUUCCUUUAAGCGGGGGGAUAGCCCAUAGAAAUGUGGAUUAAUACCCCAUGGUAUUAUUGUUUGGCAUCAAAUAAUAAUUAAAGAUUUAUCACUUAGAGAUGGCUGUGCGUCUGAUUAGGUAGUUGGUUGGGGUAAUGGCCCACCAAGCCUUCGAUCAGUAACUGGUGUGAGAGCACGACCAGUCACACGGGCACUGAGACACGGGCCCGACUCCUACGGGAGGCAGCAGUAAGGAAUAUUGGUCAAUGGAGGCAACUCUGAACCAGCCAUGCCGCGUGAAGGAUGAAGGUCCCCUGGAUUGUAAACUUCUUUUAUGUGGGAAGAAAUGCAUUCUUUAUAGAGUGUUUGACGGUACCAUAGGAAUAAGCACCGGCUAACUCCGUGCCAGCAGCCGCGGUAAUACGGAGGGUGCGAGCGUUAUCCGGAUUCACUGGGUUUAAAGGGUGCGUAGGUGGGGAAGUAAGUCAGUGGUGAAAUCUCCGUGCUUAACAUGGAAACUGCCAUUGAUACUAUUUUUCUUGAAUUUUCCGGAGGUUAGCGGAAUAUGUCAUGUAGCGGUGAAAUGCUUAGAUAUGACAUAGAACACCAAUUGCGAAGGCAGCUAACUACAGGGAUAUUGACACUGAGGCACGAAAGCGUGGGGAUCAAACAGGAUUAGAUACCCCCGUAGUCC
rnacentral:rRNA from 1 species